GCCUCAGUACGGCGAGUGAAGCGGCAAAAGCUCAAAUUUGAAAUCUAGCACCUUCGGUGUUCGAGUUGUAAUUUGAAGAUGGUAACCUUGGGUUUGGCUCUUGUCUAUGUUCCUUGGAACAGGACGUCAUAGAGGGUGAGAAUCCCGUCUGAUGAGAUGCCCAUUCCUAUGUAAGGUGCUAUCGAAGAGUCGAGUUGUUUGGGAAUGCAGCUCUAAGUGGGUGGUAAAUUCCAUCUAAAGCUAAAUAUUGGCGAGAGACCGAUAGCGAACAAGUACAGUGAUGGAAAGAUGAAAAGAACUUUGAAAAGAGAGUGAAAAAGUACGUGAAAUUGUUGAAAGGGAAGGGCAUUAGAUCAGACUUGGUGUUUUACGAUUAUCUUCUCUUCUUGAGUUGUGCACUCGUAUUUCACUGGGCCAGCAUCGAUUCGGAUGGCAAGAUAAUGGCAGUUGAAUGUGGCUUCACUUCGGUGGAGUGUUAUAGCUUCUGCUGAUAUUGCCUGUCUGGAUCGAGGGCUGCGUCUUUUGACUAGGAUGCUGGCGUAAUGAUCUAAUGCCGCCCGUCUUGACC
rnacentral:rRNA from 1 species